UAUGAAGAUAUGAUUCCUAAUGUGAAAUCUUGAAGGAGAAAUAGUUGUUUUUGACUAAUCUAAUGUCUUGUAGGAUAUAUGGAUAAAUAAUAGACACGAUUUAUGAAAUUAAGUUAGAAAAUAAUGGUUAACCGUAUGAAUUUGAUACUUUAUAUGCGAAAGUGAAAUAUAUAUUGAAGGGUAAUUCUACCCUAGGAAAUAACAAGGACAAGGACAAGGAGCAGGAAUAAAGGUAUUCGUGUGUCAAGGGCGUUUUGGAUUUCGAGAUUAACUCUUUCGAUGUACAGCUGCUCAAGUCGGGUCACUAGCCAACCUUUGUGUUCGGAAAAUUCUUUCAGAAAUUCUAGAUGUGGCAUGUAUAGAAAGUGUAAUGUAGUUCGAACGUUUCAUUUACUUCGCUAUCCUGGUUGUAUAAAUAUAUAUAUAUAUAUAGACUUUCGAAACA